rnacentral:rRNA from 1 species
CCUACGGGGGGCAGCAGUGAGGAAUAUUGGUCAAUGGACGAGAGUCUGAACCAGCCAAGUAGCGUGAAGGAUGACUGCCCUAUGGGUUGUAAACUUCUUUUAUAUGGGAAUAAAACGUUCCACGUGUGGGAUUUUGUAUGUACCAUAUGAAUAAGGAUCGGCUAACUCCGUGCCAGCAGCCGCGGUAAUACGGAGGAUCCGAGCGUUAUCCGGAUUUAUUGGGUUUAAAGGGGGCGUAGGUGGAUUGUUAAGUCAGUUGUGAAAGUUUGCGGGUCAACCGUAAAAUUGCAGUUGAAACUGGCAGUCUUGAGUACAGUAGAGGUGGGCGGAAUGCGUGGUGUAGCGGUGAAAUGCUUAGAUAUCACGAAGAACUCCGAUUGCGAAGGCAGUUCACUGGACUGCAACUGACACUGAGGCACGAAAGUGUGGGUAUCAAACAGGAUUAGAUACCCCAGUAGUC